AAACCGAUCACCGAUGAACCGGAAACCGAAGCCGAUUGGACCGAAACCGAAGAAUCGUUUAAAACUUCGGUCAGCAAACUCAAGGAACCGAAGUUUGUUUGGUUAAUUCGGUCUCUUGCCUCGGUUAACCGAAAAACCCGAAGAACCGAAUUUCAUUGCUGCAUCUUUAAAAUUUAAUGUUUUCAUUGCAUGCUUGCUAGAUGAUAUUUACUCAUUACCUAUGUCUGUGUCACAUAAUUAUGUGUUUAUUUUUGCGUGUAACUUAAAUCUAUUUUCUGUUGUAAGUAGAAGAUUGAACUAAAUUUGUUUUCAUUUUUUUUUUGCCGUAAACACAAUGUUCGGUUAGUUCGCUUCCGAACCGAAAACCAAACCGAAUUUUCGGUGAACCAAACUUUCGGUUCUCAAAAUUUUUAAGAUAACUUCGGUCCUCAUAUUUGAAGAACCGAAUUUCAUGAAAACCUGAAGAACCGAACCAAAAUUUCGGGUAUAACCGAACGCCCCACCCCGAACUAUAGCAUUACGUGUUUUGGUAAGUUGCAUCUGACGUCUUUGUGCAAGCUAAGCGCUGCGUCGUUGCCGCUCUUUGAUUUGACUCAGAGUAUAGUACUAUAAAGUUAGGACCAAGGUUAAGACUGUAUCUUCUAGACCUUGAACUAGUCAACAUACAACAUUUUUCGAAAAAACGCAAAGCUUGCAUCUCGAUGCAUUGAUAAAAAAAAAAGUAUUUACAAGCCGAAGAACAGGCCAACACAACCAAUCACUCAAAAUAAGAACACGACCAACGACCGCUAAACUAUCAUUACAACCAACACCACCAAACAACCGCAGGCCUAAAUGCCAAAAACACAAAAGUACAGGAUAGUGAAGGUGCCGCGGCCCGCCGGCCUCGCAGAACUCAAAGACAAGCCCGUGAGGCGUCUCUUCAACUGCAGAAGCCUCGGGCCGCCGAUCGUCGCGCUCGUCCCGAACAUUGCGCCGCC
rnacentral:lncRNA from 1 species